AGGUUCGGCCGCCGAAAGUGAAGUUCGGCCGCCGAACAUGAGUUGGUUUUGGGAGCGCUUUUGGCCUCCGAAAGCUAUGUUUGAACAAACCAGGUUCGGCCGCCGAACCUCAAGUUCGGCCGCCGAACAUGGGGGUGUUUUGCAUGCACGUUAGGCCGCCGAAGGAGGUUUGGCUGGCCACCUAUAAAAGCCCCUCAGACCGAAAAUGGGCGAGUUUUCUCCCCAUUCUCGAGCUCAGGUGUGUUCAUGUCCUCCUCUAGUCGUUUUCUUGCUUUUUCUUCAAAUCCUUCACGUUUUAUAAGCUAUAUGGUUGUUUUGAAGAGUUUUAAAGCUUGGAUCAAGGUUUGGAGAGCUUGGAGACUUUAAGAGUUUGGGUUCUCCACAUCUCAAGCUUUGGGUCGCACCAACCCUCGAUCUUCAAGAGGUAAGUGUGGAUCUAUGCUUUUCUUUACGUUUCAUGAAGUUUUAAGAUGGUUUUGAUGGGUAGAUAUGCAUGUUAGGGUUUAUGUGGGUUUUAUGCCCAAUGUAUGAUAAUGUAUGUUCAUGUGAUGUUUGUGUUGGGGUUUAAGUUAGUUUUCAAGCCCCUUGAGCAUAUGGGAGAGAGUAUGCAUGAUUGGGAGAGAGUAUGUGAGGUUUGGUUUGUUUUGAUGGUUUUGGCCUAUGUGGGUCAUAAACUAUCUAUGUAUGCUUUAGAUGUUGUUUUUGGGAGUUUAAGCUUGUUUGAGCUCCCUUGUGUAUGGUUGAGGAUGUAUGCAUGUGUUUGAGAAGUUGGAUGCUUGUUUUGGGGUGUUUGGAAGGUUUGGGAGUCUUGAAAUGCACAAAGGCUGAGUUCUGG
rnacentral:lncRNA from 1 species